CCGCCAUGCCGUCAACUGUUGUUAUGCCUCGUGGAAACUAUUCGCGAUAUAUAACUAAGAUUUGGGACGUUUCGCUUCCGCUUAGAAAAGAUAUUGAUAUUUAGUAACUACAUUUUUCGUAUGAAGCACUUGGGGUCAAGGACGAGAGUUUCUUACGUGCCAGCCACCAACUCAGGAACAUCCUAAGUAUUGUGGUGUUGAGGCACCUUGAACAUCUACAUAGCUAUAAAAUUACCCAGGCUUGCUGGUGGAGGUGCCAACGAUUGAUUGCUUCAUAGACUAUAGUUAGUAGGCAGCAGUGAGGAAAAUGGUAAGAUGAGUAUGAAUAGUUUCUACAAUAAGAAUUUGGUUGAAUAAUUUUGAUCAAUGCUUCAUCAGGGGGAAGAGAAGAGAA
rnacentral:sRNA from 1 species